ensembl:lncRNA
GUCCGAGUUGUUUGAAUGACAGAAGCUCCUCUAGCUCGAUGCUAAAGUGCUAACCGGAGCUAACAGCCUGUCCCCUCCCGUCCUAUUAACUGUAUUUAUGGCUAUGCCUUUUUCUCUUUUCAAUAUGACCAAACACAAUGGCCCGAGGAACAGCAUCGUUUCUUAACCGAGUAUGGAAGGGGAGAUUUGGAGGUACCUGGAUCAGGUCUUGGGUCAGCCUUCAAAUCCCAGAUGUGGAGACUGCAGGGAUACCCGAGAGGACACUAAAGAGCCAUCUCUCAUUCAUCGAGUGGACUCAUUGGUUUGCGAAUGACCACAAAGAUGCUCCCAUAGGCAGAUUGCUGCAUGGCAUUCACCACUUAUUCAAAUUGUAGGGGUUGAAGCAGUCUUCCUUGUGGUCACUUGCCAUAACACUGUCAUGUGUUUUAUCAAAACACAAUCAGUAACAUUUAAAUUGAGUUGAUGUCGACGGCUCUUUUUUUGUCUGAUUUUUUCAGUGUUCAGUGCCAGUUUGUGAGAUAUGCAUUGUUUGAAAGAUAAGCCUUUGAUUUUGGUUAAUUUUAAUAUGCCUUUCAUCAACAGUGGUUUGGGGUUUUAUAACGACAAUUAAAGUGCCUAACUACUGGUGAACGAUGUUGCAGAACAUAUAUGGUUUGUGUUGAUUGCAUGGAAAAGGGAAUAACCAGUUACAACUUAUAUUGUAAGAGCCUGGUAAUACCAUGGAAACAAACGAGGCUUCCUUUUACAGUACAGUUUCAGCUUACUUACUGGGUAAAUUGUCGUGUUUUACUUGGUAACGUCGCAGAACGUACACGGUAC